rnacentral:rRNA from 1 species
GAAUAUUGGUCAAUGGGCGCGAGCCUGAACCAGCCAAGUAGCGUGAAGGAUGAAGGUCCUACGGAUUAUAAACUUCUUUUAUAAGGGAAUAAAGUCACCCACGUGUGGGUGUUUGUAUGUACCUUAUGAAUAAGCAUCGGCUAACUCCGUGCCAGCAGCCGCGGUAAUACGGAGGAUGCGAGCGUUAUCCGGAUUUAUUGGGUUUAGAGGGAGCGUAGACGGGCCGUUAAGUCAGCUGUGAAAGUUUGAGGCUCAACCUUAAAAUUGCAGUUGAUACUGGCGUCCUUGAGUACGGUUGAGGCAGGCGGAAUUCGUGGUGUAGCGGUGAAAUGCUUAGAUAUCACGAAGAACCCCGAUUGCGAAGGCAGCCUGCUAAACCGCCACUGACGUUGAGGCUCGAAAGUGUGGGUAUCAAACAGGAUUAGAUACCCUGGUAGUCCACACGGUAAACGAUGGAUACUCGCUGUUGGCGAUAGACUGUCAGCGGCUUAGCGAAAGCGUUAAGUAUCCCACCUGGGGAGUACGCCGGCAACGGUGAAACUCAAAGGAAUUGACGGGGGCCCGCACAAGCGGAGGAACAUGUGGUUUAAUUCGAUGAUACGCGAGGAACCUUACCCGGGCUUGAAUUGCAGACGAAUUGCUUGGAAACAGGCAAGCCGCAAGGCGUCUGUGAAGGUGCUGCAUGGUUGUCGUCAGCUCGUGCCGUGAGGUGUCGGCUUAAGUGCCAUAACGAGCGCAACCCUCGUGUCCAGUUACUAGCAGGUUAUGCUGAGGACUCUGGACAGACUGCCAUCGUAAGAUGUGAGGAAGGUGGGGAUGACGUCAAAUCAGCACGGCCCUUACGUCCGGGGCUACACACGUGUUACAAUGGGGGGUACAGCAGGCAGCUACCGGGCGACCGGAUGCCAAUCCCGAAAGCCUCUCUCAGUUCGGACUGGAGUCUGCAACCCGACUCCACGAAGCUGGAUUCGCUAGUAAUCGCGCAUCAGCCACGGCGCGGUGAAUACGUUCCCG